rnacentral:rRNA from 1 species
CCUACGGGAGGCAGCAGGGGGGAAUAUUGGGCAAUGGGCGCAAGCCUGACCCAGCAACGCCGCGGGAAGGAAGAAGGCUUUCGGGUUGUAAACUUCUUUUAAGAGGGAAGAGCAGAAGACGGUACCUCUUGAAUAAGCCACGGCUAACUACGUGCCAGCAGCCGCGGUAAUACGUAGGUGGCAAGCGUUGUCCGGAUUUACUGGGUGGAAAGGGCGUGCAGCCGGGAAGACAAGUCAGAUGUGAAAUCCCGCGGCUCAACCGCGGAACUGCAUUUGAAACUGUUUUUCUUGAGUACCGGAGAGGUCAUCGGAAUUCCGUGUGUAGCGGUGAAAUGCGUAGAUAUAAGGAAGAACACCAGUGGCGAAGGCGGAUGACUGGACGGCAACUGACGGUGAGGCGCGAAAGCGUGGGGAGCAAACAGGAUUAGAUACCCGGGUAGUC